CCCAUUUGUAAGCAGUGUCAGUAAUUGUGCUAUUUUUUAAACAGGAGAAAAUAAAACAUACUUAAUUGACAUUUUAAUUACUGCAUAGUGUAGUUAGGAGCAUGCAAUGCAUAAGACAGAAGCUGAGCAUGAUAUUAACCUGUUUAGCAUACUUAUAUGUUUAUAAAACCCGUUAGCUAUCCUUUAAGGAGAAAUAUUUUGUAAAUUAAUGACCUUAACUGUCAUUUGGAUGUUUCUGUUAAGGUUGUUUGUUUUAUUUUAGACCAUAAAAAAAAA